rnacentral:rRNA from 1 species
UACGGGGGGGCAAGCGUUGUUCGGAAUUACUGGGCGUAAAGGGCUCGUAGGCGGCCAACUCAGUCCGACGUGAAAUCCCUCGGCUUAACCGGGGAACUGCGUCUGAUACUGGAUGGCUUGAGUUUGGGAGAGGGAUGCGGAAUUCCUGGUGUAGCGGUGAAAUGCGCAGAUAUCAGGAGGAACACCGAUGGCGAAGGCAGCUCGCUGGGACGGUACUGACGCUGAGACGCGAAAGCGUGGGGAGCAAACAGG